rnacentral:rRNA from 1 species
UCGUGAGAUGUUGGGUUAAGUCCCGUAACGAGCGCAACCCUUGUCCUUAGUUACCAGCACGUUAUGGUGGGCACUCUAAGGAGACUGCCGGUGACGAAACCGGAGGAAGGUGGGGAUGACGUCAAGUCAUCAUGGCCCUUACGGCCUGGGCUACACACGUGCUACAAUGGUCGGUACAAAGGGUUGCCAAGCCGCGAGGUGGAGCUAAUCCCAUAAAACCGAUCGUAGUCCGGAUCGCAGUCUGCAACUCGACUGCGUGAAGUCGGAAUCGCUAGUAAUCGUGAAUCAGAAUGUCACGGUGAAUACGUUCCCGGGCCUU